rnacentral:lncRNA from 1 species
UGAAAUUUUUUCACAAAAUUUUAAUAGAAAUAUGAGAUACGGAACAUGUACUUACAAUAUUUUGUCAUAAGUCAGAAGAUACAUGAUUUUCUUGGUCCCAUAAGAUAACAGGAUCAAAAGGUCCUGGAUUGAUAUCCAUAUCGGUCCUAAAAAUUCAACAAAAUGUCAAGUAUUAAAUAAUUUAUAAAAAUGACAUUAAAAAGAUAAAAGAGAAGGAACAAAUAUAAAAUACAAACAUUUAAAUUAUAGGGGAUCCAUAUAUAGAAUUUAUAAACAUAUAAACAUAUGAAUUUAUCAAAGCAUAUUAGUAACAUCCAUCCAAUUGUUCUAGUAAUAAAUUUGAUCCAUAAACUGUUUGAACAAAUGGAUAUAACAAGAACACACUCAUCCCCAUCCAAGAACAAGUGGAUAUAAACUAAUACUAACAAGAAAUAGUAGAAUCACACUCAUCCCCAUCCAAACUAGCUAGCUACUUCUUUAUAAAAACAGGAUGAAACUAGGGUUCAACAAAAUAAUGGA